CGGGGUGCAGCAGGCGCGAAAACUCUACAAUGCAGGCAACUGCGAUAGGGGGACAUCGAGUGGCAUCCACCUUGGGUGCCUGUCCAACCGUCUAAAAAACGGUUGUUAGCAAGGGCCGGGUAAGACCGGUGCCAGCCGCCGCGGUAAUACCGGCGGCUCGAGUGGUGGCCGAUAUUAUUGAGUCUAAAGGGUCCGUAGCCGGCUUUGCAAGUCCCCUGGGAAAUCCAGCGGCUUAACCGUUGGGCUUUCAUGGGAUACUACAUUGCUUGGGACUGGGAGAGGUAGGAGGUACUCGGGGGGUAGGGGUGAAAUCCUGUAAUCCUCCGGGGACCACCGGUGGCGAAGGCGUCCUACCAGAACAGGUCCGACGGUGAGGGACGAAAGCUAGGGGCACGAACCGGAUUAGAUACCCGGGUAGUCCUAGCCGUAAACGAUGCCCGCUAGGUGUCACGACGGUCGUGAAUCGUCGUGGUGCCGUAGGGAAGCCGCGAAGCGGGCCACUUGGGGAGUACG
rnacentral:rRNA from 1 species